CCCGCUGAACUUAAGCAUAUCAAUAAGCGGAGGAAAAGAAACUAACAAGGAUUCCCCUAGUAACUGCGAGUGAAGCGGGAAGAGCUCAAAUUUAAAAUCUGGCCGCCUUUGGUUGCCCGAGUUGUAGUCUGGAGAAGCGUUUUCCGUGUUGGACCGUGUACAAGUCUCUUGGAACAGGGCGUCAUAGAGGGUGAGAAUCCCGUCUUUGACACGGACUACUAUUGGUUGCUGUCGCGCUGUCAAAGAGUCGAGUUGUUUGCAACUCCAGCUCGAUAUGUGAUGGUAAUUUCCAUCUAAAUAUAGACAUGAGCGAGAGACCGAUCGAGAACAAGUACGGUGAGGUAAAGAUCAAUUGCGCUUGAGAGAGAGACUUUACCUGUACGUGAAGUAACUGAAAGGCAAGCACUCGGAGUCAUUCUUGUAGACUGAGACUCACCUUGGCUUGGCGUUGGUGUACGUCGGCGUGUGCAUGCAUCAACUUCACUUUUGAGAUAUUGAGAAAGGAUUUGUGACUCUGGCGCCUUUGUGUGAUUGUAUACUCGUUUCUUGCAUGCGUCGGUAGUGAUUAAGGCCUCCAGCACGCUCUGAUGUCCGGGGUUGCCCCACACACGUGCUUAGGAUGUUGGCGUAAUGGCUUUAAGCGACCCGUCUUGAAACACGG
rnacentral:rRNA from 1 species